CCAGAGUGACGCAUGAGUUGAAUAGGAAACAAAGUAACAGAGCAGUGAUGGGAAUUAAUGGGAAGACUGUGUCGUUAAAAUGACCUUUCAUCAAACAUUCUCUUCCGAUUGUGCUGUGCACCCAUGAAAAUACCAAUAUUUUGUGUUUAGCAGCUUUUUGGAGUAAACGUAACUAAAUAUUGUUUCAUAGACAUUCAUCGUCAUGGUGAAUUUUUCAAGGUGAAAUCAUGUCUGCAAGGGAAUCAGACUCCUUAUCAUUCAUAUAGCU